rnacentral:rRNA from 1 species
GACGAACGCUGGCGGCGUGCUUAACACAUGCAAGUCGAACGGAAAGGCCCUGCUUUUGUGGGGUGCUCGAGUGGCGAACGGGUGAGUAACACGUGAGUAACCUGCCCUUGACUUUGGGAUAACUUCAGGAAACUGGGGCUAAUACCGGAUAGGAGCUCCUGCUGCAUGGUGGGGGUUGGAAAGUUUCGGCGGUUGGGGAUGGACUCGCGGCUUAUCAGCUUGUUGGUGGGGUAGUGGCUUACCAAGGCUUUGACGGGUAGCCGACCUGAGAGGGUGACCGGCCAGAUUGGGACUGAGAGACGCCCAAGCCUCCGAGGGGAGGCGGAGGUGGGGAUUUUGGAAAAAGGGCCGGAACCCUAACGAAGCACCCCCGGGGGGGGGAGAGGGGCUUUGGGUUUGUAACCGGCUUCCCCCUGGGACGAGGCGGGAGUGAGGUUAGGGUAAAAAGAACCCCGGCCUAACUAGGUC